AUGUCCACCGACGCCGAACGUGCCGCCGCCGAGAAAGUUAAAGCCGACAAGAAGGCCGCCGAGGACGCCGCUGCUGCCACCAAAGCCGCGGCCUCUCCAUGGCCUACUGGAGGGUAUAACUCGUUUAUCCCGCUCCUACUGUUUUCUGUUUUAGCCAUGUUAUUGUUAUACGUAGAUCUUUCUGCAAUUAGCGUAAUAACACGAGGUGUGCAAAUUCCAGCAAGGGUCAGACCAAAGGCUCCUCCGCCAGGUUUCUCGAAGGUCCAUGUAGAUGCUGCAGUAUCAAGGGCUCAUAACAAAGGAGCUGCCGCGACUGUUUGUCGAGAUGACAUGGGAAAUUAUGUUGGUAGUUCGGCGCUGGUGAUAGAAGGGAUAACCGAUGAAGCAACUUUGGAGGCUAUAGCGUGA
rnacentral:rRNA from 1 species